CCAUGAGUCUGCACACAUGGGUGCCUCCCAACUGCACUCCCAGACCGUUUCUAGACACCUAGCCCAGAAGGACAUUCCCACCUGGACACCGGACAGCAGCAGUAACUACUUCUUGAGCUGCUUCAGGAGCUUCUUCAGGUCUGAGAUCUCACGCCAGACGUCCAGUCAAGAGAGGGAGCACAGAAGGGAGAAAAAUGCCAAUGACCCCAGGGAUGCCAUGGUGGCAGAAGCUUGAGUACGUUUCUUGAUAUUCUCAGUUUCUGAAUGUUUUCACCAUGAAUUAGUGCUGAAUUUUGUCAAAUGUUUUUUCUAUGCCUAUUGAGAUCAUUAUGUGAUGCGUUUUUCUCCCUUUAUUUUAUUAAUGUGGUGUGUUCCAUUGAUUGUUUUAUACAUAUUGAACUACCCUUUUAUUCCUGGGUGAGUACCACUUGAUUCUGACAUAUAAUCCUUUAGAUAUCCUGUUUGAUUAGGUUUGCAAAUUUUUGGUUAAGGAUUUUUGCAUCAAUAUGCACAAUGAUAUUGGUAUGUAGUUUUCUUGUGAUGUCUUUAUCUGGCUUUGGUAUCAGGGUACUGAUGGCUUCAUAGAAUGAAUUAGAAAAUGUUCUAUUUUCUGGAAUUAUUAAAUGUUUGGCAAAAUUCACCCUUACAGCCUACACCUGACAGACAUAUAGAGAACACUCCACUCAACAACAGCAGAAUAUACACUUCUCAAGUGCAUGUUGAACAUUCUUCACAAAAAAAACAUGUUUUAGACCA